UCCGUAGGCGGUGUGGCAAGUCGGGAGUGAAAUCUCUGGGCUUAACUCAGAGGCUGCUUCCGAAACUGCCGUGCUAGAGUGUGAGAGAGGCGAGUGGAAUUGCGGGUGUAGCGGUGAAAUGCGUAGAUAUCCGCAGGAACAUCCGAGGCGAAAGCGGCUCGCUGGAUCACAACUGACGCUGAGGGACGAAAGCUAGGGAGCAAACA
rnacentral:rRNA from 1 species